GAUGAACGCUGGCGGCGUGCCUAAUACAUGCAAGUCGAGCGAACAGACGAGGAGCUUGCUCCUCUGACGUUAGCGGCGGACGGGUGAGUAACACGUGGAUAACCUACCUAUAAGACUGGGAUAACUUCGGGAAACCGGAGCUAAUACCGGAUAAUAUAUUGAACCGCAUGGUUCAAUAGUGAAAGACGGUUUUGCUGUCACUUAUAGAUGGAUCCGCGCCGCAUUAGCUAGUUGGUAAGGUAACGGCUUACCAAGGCAACGAUGCGUAGCCGACCUGAGAGGGUGAUCGGCCACAUUGGAACUGAGACACGGUCCAGGCGCCUACGGGAGGCAGCAGUAGGGAAUCUUCCGCAAUGGGCGAAAGCCUGACGGAGCAACGCCGCGUGAGUGAUGAAGGUCUUCGGAUCGUAAAACUCUGUUAUUAGGGAAGAACAAAUGUGUAAGUAACUAUGCACGUCUUGACGGUACCUAAUCAGAAAGCCACGGCUAACUACGUG
rnacentral:rRNA from 1 species